CCUGCUAAGCUAUGCUCUCGAAAGGCCAACACAAAACCCCCCUUCCUAGGGGGGAACUAGCAUCAAAUGUCUUCCUUCCGGAUGAGCCUUCUGAGCAAUGGCGCCGCAGCCCGGCUAGAGGUGCGGCACAACGCGUAGCUCGCGUACUCAGAAGUAAGUCCUCCGCAAUUCAAUAGGUCUUACUUCCAAGAUCGGUGUGAAAGGGAAGAAUAUAGUUGGCUACCUUUGAAGAACUGGUUCGAGAUCCACCACCGUCCACCACAGGACUGGGCGAGAGUGCUUGUAGUCAGUCGAGAAAAUCCACUCUGCCGACUGAGUUUCAUUUGGACUCGGCAAGCGAAAGGAAGCUCGUAACUCCCCUUCGCCUUCUGACCAGCUCCUGCCACAGGCAAGGCCUCUCGUGUGUAUGUGUUGUCACUGUUGCGCGUGUGUUGUGCGCAGAUUUCUGCAUGAGCAGGAUGGGGACUGAUUGGAAUCCCAUUUACUCAUCCCUGUUCUCGCGUCGCUAAGAGUCUCCAAAGAGGAGCCCCGAAGUUUAUCCAAAGACGACUUAGAGGAAGAAGACUGGCCUUCUCAGUGAAUACGGCUCUGGAGGGCGGACAGAAGAGGAGGAAUAUAGGAGCAUCGAGCUUUCAAACAACUUCCGAAUUGCCCAGCAUAAGGUUAAAGCCGUCCUUCUUGCUAACUGCGUUUCAAGUAAGCUAGAACCCAAAUCUUUAAAGAAAAAGAAGCUAGAAUUCGAGUCCAUCUAGCCAAUUUGUUUUAAAAGUCCCGAAACUCUUAACCCAACCAGGCGUGUUUUGGUUUCCACUCGGCACUUGAGGCUUCAUGCGCUUUCUCUGAUGCAGAGAAAGGUUCUAGCAAGCCACGCUUAGUUCAUUCUGAAAGGCAAGAGUAGUCUCGGUGGGUGAUAGUCAACGUUCCUCGUACUCAAGAGUAGACCCACUGAAACCAAUGAUUUAUGCUUUUCAAGCCGCCACCUCCCGCGUGGAGUAUGGUAAUGUGGCUUUAAUAGCAGUUGUACUUCAGGAUUGCUAUAUUGGCUGCGAUUGUGUGGAAGGCAAGGCUGAAUAUCAGGUACAGUCAAAGAUGAAGCACUUUUAAGGCCGGAGAUUGAAUGAGAUAUGCGGUUAACAUUAUAAGUGAAAUCAAUGAGUCAUAAAAAUACUUUGGCUGAAUACUGUGCUAUUAUGUAAAUGAUUCCACUAUUAUCAUGAUGCCCAGAUGUCGAGAAUACCCCUUUUAACAGAGGUUGCAAUCCUAGUCGUGGACGGGAGUCGGCGGGGAUGUCUAGGCAAGUAUAACUCGUGGGAGCCUUCCCGAUUGCAAAUGUGUAAGGUAACCGAUGGGUUUUCCUAUCAAGUAAUGUUCACAGGGUCAAAUAAACAAA